ensembl:lncRNA
GACUCUGGACCGCUCAUCUCGACACGGGAAUGGCGCGCCUUUUACCCUCCCCUCCUUCCUCCUGAUUUCCAGAAGUAGACUCGUCAAUCUAGAGGCAAAAGUCACGGGGCUCUGCUGCUGGAUAGCAGCCUCAGGUCAGUGGGCAAGAAAGACUUUAAGUCAGGAAAGUUACCAGAAGAAAAGUGACCCGAGCCUCAGGAAGGAGAGCAACCCUGGCUAACUAAAUGAAGGUCGUCUGCUCACUGCUAUUCAGGUGGGGCCAGGGAGAGCCAAGCAAGCUUAAAUUCACAGUAGCAGAAGCAGGCGAGUUUAAGAAGAUGCAGUCUAAAUGGAAGAAAGUUAUCUGGUUCCGGUGAGGAGGAAAACUCACACUGGAGUCUCAGCGUUUGGACAGAAGGCAAGGCAGAGAUCCAGUCCGGAGGGACAUGUCCAUAUGGAGGAAGAAGAGGUGCCUUACCUCAAGUCUGCGAACGCCAGUCACUACUAAAGUACAAGGGUAAUCCUUGUCCAUCCUCCUAAAGGUAUUCUGAACCCUGUGUAAAAUUGACCAAGUACUGCAUGGUACCCAUGUGGAAGACCAGACUUCAAAAAUGUAUUAAAAAGUGAGAGGAUAAUCCCAUGGACAGAGGAACCUGGUGAGCUACAGUCCAAAGAGUUGAAAGAGUCAGACACAACUGAGCGACUGAGCAUACACUCUGUCUUGUCAGAAAGCUCCUGCAACAAUCACGUGAAUAUAAGGAAAUACCCUUCAAAAUGAGUUCUUCCUUCACUAACCGGACAAAGGAAAGCAGAGUGGUCGAUUAUGGACGUUCCUCCUAUCAGUGGCUCUCCAAACACAGCUUCUAACUGAUGGGAGAUCAGUACCAAGGACAGAAGCUGUCACUCUCAAACCUGAAAGGAGCCGCCUCAUUUCUCUACUGAGAAGAAAACUCUCUGGUUCUCCUAUUGAAUCCCUGGACAGGCCCGUAUAAGUAAGCACCUCCUCUCAAUGUCUAAAAUGGAAUGCUAAAAAUGCUUCUUUGGCUGCCCACGUGCUGACUUGUCCCAUCUAACUACUCACCAAUUGGGGAAAUUCUGUACGGAAGAAUUUUAGUUUGAAUCUACCCUCUCUGCGUGUGCCUGUGUCGACCUCCUCAUCUGGCCACCCGUUCACG